rnacentral:rRNA from 1 species
UACACUCCUGCGGGAGGCAGCAGUAGGGAAUCUUCGGCAAUGGGGGCAACCCUGACCGAGCAACGCCGCGUGAGUGAAGAAGGUUUUCGGAUCGUAAAGCUCUGUUGUAAGUCAAGAACGAGUGUGAGAGUGGAAAGUUCACACUGUGACGGUAGCUUACCAGAAAGGGACGGCUAACUACGUGCCAGCAGCCGCGGUAAUACGUAGGUCCCGAGCGUUGUCCGGAUUUAUUGGGCGUAAAGCGAGCGCAGGCGGUUUGAUAAGUCUGAAGUUAAAGGCUGUGGCUCAACCAUAGUUCGCGUUGGAAACUGUCAAACUUGAGUGCAGAAGGGGAGAGUGGAAUUCCAUGUGUAGCGGUGAAAUGCGUAGAUAUAUGGAGGAACACCGGUGGCGAAAGCGGCUCUCUGGUCUGUAACUGACGCUGAGGCUCGAAAGCGUGGGGAGCGAACAGGAUUAGAUACCCGGGUAGUCCCA